rnacentral:rRNA from 1 species
UGGGGAAUUUUGGACAAUGGGCGAAAGCCUGAUCCAGCAAUGCCGCGUGUGUGAAGAAGGCCUUCGGGUUGUAAAGCACUUUUUGUCCGGGAAAGAAAAUCCUUGGCUCUAAUACAGUCGGGGGAUGACGGUACCGGAAGAAUAAGCACCGGCUAACUACGUGCCAGCAGCCGCGGUAAUACGUAGGGUGCAAGCGUUAAUCGGAAUUACUGGGCGUAAAGCGUGCGCAGGCGGUUUGCUAAGACCGAUGUGAAAUCCCCGGGCUCAACCUGGGAACUGCAUUGGUGACUGGCAGGCUAGAGUAUGGCAGAGGGGGGUAGAAUUCCACGUGUAGCAGUGAAAUGCGUAGAGAUGUGGAGGAAUACCGAUGGCGAAGGCAGCCCCCCUGGGCCAAUACUGACGCUCAUGCACGAAAAGGCGUGGGGGAGCAAACAGGAUUAGAUACCCCUGGUAGUCCACGCCCUAAACGAUGUCAACUAGUUGUU